UACGGGGGGGGGCAAGCGUUGUUCGGAAUUACUGGGCGUAAAGGGCUCGUAGGCGGCCAACUAAGUCAGACGUGAAAUCCCUCGGCUUAACCGGGGAACUGCGUCUGAUACUGGAUGGCUUGAAUUCGGGAGAGGGAUGCAGAAUUCCAGGUGUAGCGGUGAAAUGCGUAGAUAUCUGGAGGAACACCGGUGGUGUAGACGGCUCACUGGACCGUAACUGACGCUGAGACACGAAAGCGUGGGUAGCAAACAGG
rnacentral:rRNA from 1 species